UAUCACAAUUGUUCUAUAGUACAGCU
rnacentral:misc_RNA from 1 species